AAAUCCACCAAUUCCAUUCUAUGCAUACAAUUCCAACUAAAACAAACACAUAGUUGCAAUAAACCAACAACAUUACACAUCAUUACUGAUCCAAGAUUUAUAAUAAACCAGCGGCAUUAGAGCACAUCCUGUAAGAGCAUACAUAUUGUCAUGGCUUUUCAUGCCUUCAAUUAAAACACCUACACUUCUUGAAGUCACUUACUCCCAGCUAGUGCAAACACAGUUACAAGCAAACCAAAAUGCAUAAGAACACCAAACAGUGGCAUCCUAUCUCUCCAGAUGAUCCGCUCCCUCUGCAUCCUUGCAAGCAUCUUCGCGAUAAGCAAAUCCAUUCGAAAAAAGUCAACUUAGCAUGUACUCCCUCUGUCAACUAUCCAAAGUAGAUUUUAUCCAUUGCCCUGGCCAUGUUCAAGAAACACUAAAUUAAGAAUAUUUCUACUCUAAAUACAUGAGGCAUUAGACAAAAAACAAAAGAUGAGCAAUAUCAUAUGAGCAGAAUAAAAAGGAGUUUGGACCAUAGCAUGGUUAACAAUAAAAUAUAGUGCUCUAACAAAAGCAAGAGUGCAACACGUUGCCCUGUUCCCCUUUCAAAUAUCAACACACUAAAAAGGCAAUAAACACAAACAUAUAAUUUUGGACUACAGCAAAAAUCAGUUGCAGAAAGUCAGGAAGAUUAUAUUGUUAAAGUAUUCCAUCUUCAGAUGUUAGAACAGGAUAUUGCAAAAGCAAAAUAUAUGAAAAUCAAAUACUGAAGCAGCUACAAUGCCCGAAUUGGCCUUUUACAGCAGGUGAGAAGCACACACUAAAACAUUAACAGCCAAGCACAUCAUAUCUGUUGAAACUACCUAAAUGGCACGGCAACAACACUUCCUUUUAAAUAGUUUUAGAAGACAUGCAUUUAAUGGCAGCCACAACAGUAUGCAUCUAGAUGCCCCUUUAACAUAACAUAAUUCUAGAUACUAGUCAUCAACCCGUGUUGCUGCACGGGCUAGAAAUUAAACUUUGAGAAUAAUAAAAAAUAUGAAAUGAUACAAUAUAUUUGAAUGGAUUAUAAGAUGUCAUGCAUUGUAGGAAAAAUGGUAAACUCGUAUGCAAUUAUAGUUUCGUUUGAAUGGAUGCAAGAUUAUAUGUGUCAUUAUCAUGAGUGUGCUACCUUUUGAAUCUUUACUUUUGCAAACGCUGCUAAGUUGUGAAUAUCAUUGCACCUAGAUAUAUUUUCUAAGACAUACACAGAGCAGGUUACCAAAGGAAAUAAGUUCAUGUAGGUGUUCUUAUGAGGAGUACCCUCUGUGUUCUACACUUUGUGGCCAAUGCAAUGUUCAAAGUCAG
rnacentral:lncRNA from 1 species